rnacentral:tRNA from 1 species
AUUUUUGUAGUUUAAUUAAAACUCUUUAUUUUCAUUAAAAAAAUGAUUUAUAAAAUCCAAAAAUU